UCAAAUUGUGAAUUUAAGGCAUACUGUAGAGCAUUUUAGGCCUGCUUUUCUGCAGCCACACAUGCUUCCACAGUUUUCUUUGUAUCUGCAGAAAAUUAAUUUCAUGAGA